rnacentral:rRNA from 1 species
AUACGGAGGGUGCAAGCGUUACUCGGAAUCACUGGGCGUAAAGCGCGCGCAGGCGGCUUGAUGAGUUGGAUGUGAAAGCCUACGGCUCAACCGUAGAACUGCAUCCAAAACGGUCAGGCUAGAGUGUGGGAGAGGAAGAUGGAAUUAGUUGUGUAGGGGUAAAAUCCGUAGAGAUAACUAGGAAUACCAAAAGCGAAGGCAAUCUUCUGGAACACUACUGACGCUGAGGCGCGAAGCGUGGGGAGCAAACAGGAUUAGAAACCCCAGUAGUCC